UAUGUUCCUUGGGAACAGGACGUCACAGAGGGUGAGAAUCCCGUGCGAUGGGGUGUCCAAUUCUAUGUAGAGUGCUUCGAAGAGUCGAGUGUGGGAAUGCAGCUCUAAGUGGGUGGUAAAUUCCAUCUAAAGCUAAAUAUGGCGAGAGACCGAUAGCGAACAAGUACAGUGAUGGAAAGAUGAAAAGAACUUUGAAAAGAGAGUGAAAAAGUACGUGAAAUUGUUGAAAGGGAAGGGCUUGAGAUCAGACUCGGUAUUUUGCGAUCCUAUCCUUCGUGGAGAGGUUUCACUUGCAGCUUACCGGGCCAGCAUCGGUUUGGAUGGUAGAUAAUGACUUGGAAAUGUGGCUUUUCGGGAGUGUUAUUAGCCUUUGUUGAUACUGCUAUCUUGA
rnacentral:rRNA from 2 species